rnacentral:rRNA from 2 species
CGCGACCCCAGGUCAGGCGGGAU